GCAAGUCGAGGGGUAACAGGGAGUGCUUGCACUCCGCUGACGACCGGCGCACGGGUGCGCACCGCGUAUGGAACCUGCCUCUUGCAGGGGAAUAGCCCAGGGAAACUUGGAUUAAUGCCCCGUAGUAUCAUUACACCGCCUGGUGUUUUGAUUAAAGGCUUCGGCCGGCAAGAGAUGGGCAUGCGUCGCAUUAGUUAGUGGGUAAGGUAACGGCUUACCAAGACGACGAUGGUAGGGGCCCUGAGAGGGGGAUC
rnacentral:rRNA from 1 species